rnacentral:rRNA from 1 species
GACAGAUUGAGAGCUCUUUCUUGAUUCGGUGGGUGGUGGUGCAUGGCCGUUCUUAGUUGGUGGAGCGAUUUGUCUGGUUAAUUCCGAUAACGAACGAGACUCUAGCCUGCUAAAUAGGUGACGGGUUUUAUCAAUUGAAACCGAAGGGAGUACGGAGGCGUGGGGACAAGGUGGCUGCGGCUCUGGGUGGCAUGUGAGCUCGGUUUUUCUAUCGGCGCUGGGAAGUGCGAUUUUUCUUCUUGCGCGCGGGGGUCGAAGGAAAGGUGUUUUUGUGCGUGUGUGUGUCCGUAGGUCGGCGUUAACGCGUCGGUCGAAAGAUGCGCGCGCGUGCGGGCGCUUUUUUUUUGGCACCCGUGUGUCGGAAAGGCGAGUUGUAACCCCGGUGUUGGUGAGGCUGGGUCUCGCUGUCUCUCGGUCGUAGUCAUCCCUCGCGAUACCUUCUGCUCUCGCGUCCGUCACGCAGUCUUCUUAGAGGGACAAGCGGCGUCCAGCCGCGUGACAGUGAGCAAUAACAGGUCUGUGAUGCCCUUAGAUGUCCUGGGCCGCACGCGCGCUACACUGAAGGAAUCAGCGUGUUUCACUCUCCCUGUCCGAAAGGACCGGGUAACCGCUGAACCUCCUUCGUGGUUGG